rnacentral:rRNA from 1 species
AUACGUAGGGGGCGAGCGUUGUCCGGAAUGAUUGGGCGUAAAGGGCGCGUAGGCGGCGCGGUAAGUCUGGAGUGAAAGUCCCGCAUUCAAUGUGGGAAUUGCUUUGGAUACUGCAGUGCUAGAGUGCGGAAGAGGUAAGUGGAAUUCCCAGUGUAGCGGUGAAAUGCGUAGAGAUUGGGAGGAACACCAGUGGCGAAGGCGACUUACUGGGCCGUAACUGACGCUGAGGCGCGAAAGCGUGGGGAGCGAACAGGAUUAGAUACCCUGGUAGUCCACGCGGUAAACGAUGAAUGCUAGGUGUUGCGGGUAUCGACCCCUGCAGUGCCGGAGUAAACACAAUAAGCAUUCCGCCUGGGGAGUACGGCCGCAAGGUUGAAACUCAAAUGAAUUGACGGGG